GCAAGGGCCCUAGCUCAGUGGUAGAGCAUCUGCUUGGCAUGCAGAAUGUUCCCAAGUCAACCCCCUUGCC